UACGUAGGUGGCGAGCGUUGUCCGUAUUUACUGGGCGUAAAGCGCGCGCAGGCGGACUGAUCAGUCUGGGGUGAAAUCUCACGGCUCAACUGUGAGCGGUCCCUGGAUACUGUCAGUCUUGAGAUGUCUAGAGGAGAGCGGAAUUCCCGGUGUAGUGGUGGAAUGCGUAGAGAUCGGGAGGAAUACCAGUGGCGAAAGCGGCACCCUGGCGUCGAACUGACGCACAUGUGCGAAAGCGUGGGGAGCGAACGGG
rnacentral:rRNA from 1 species